rnacentral:rRNA from 1 species
CGCGGUGAAUACGUUCCCGGACCUUGUACACACCGCCCGUCAAGCCAUGGAAGCUGGGUGUACCUAAAGUCGGUAACCGCAAGGAGCCGCCUAGGGUAAACUAGUAACUGGGCU